AUGUAAACAAAAAUGACGAAACAAGGACAGGAAUGGUUUGUUUGCAGAAUUGAAGAAUUUGACCAAAUUUCCAAGAAAAGGUUUCAGAUGCUGGAGGUCCUUUGUUUAUGGGGGACAUUGAGGACUUCAAUGAUCUUUCUUGUUUAGUUUGUCCAUGGCACCAUUACAAAGUUCACAUUGAGACUGGAAACAUGGUGUACCAGUCUAUUGACCCUCAUAAUCCAAAGAACCCCCCCGUGUGGAAGAAUAGCGGACAGAAGCAGAGAGUGCAUCGUGUGACAGUGCGUGACAACAGCCUCUUUGUCACUUUCUCGGACUGUACCGGCGACCUCCAAUCAGACCAGUAUAACGCUCUCGAGUACCGACAGCGGUGGCAAACAAAUAGCUGACCUGCAUGUUCACACCAAAAUGAAAAUGCAUCUGUGAAAGAGAGAUUAUCCAAAACUCUCAACCAUGCAUCUAUGCAUUAAUGAACGAAAAAGAAUAUCGGAUUCCAUAAUUCUGAACCAUGCAUCUGUGCAUUAAUGAUCGAGAGAAAGGGAAUAUUCAUAAUUCUCAACCAUGCAUCUAUGAAUGAAAGAGGAUAUCUAUGAUUUUCAACCAUGCAACUAUGCAUUAAUGAGGAAAAGGAAAUAUGUCCAUAAUUCUCAACCAACUUAUAAUGCAUAAUUGUUCAACCAGCGCCAUUUAUUAUGCAGAUGCAUUAUGACAGAGAUUGAAUAACAAUUCAAUGUUCUGCUUUAUGAGCGAAGACAACAACGACCGAAAGCAGUGUGAACUAUCAGCUAUGAUACGUACAAGCAUUAAAACUCUUC
rnacentral:misc_RNA from 1 species